AGAGGGUGCAAGCGUUAAUCAGAAUGACUGGGCGCAAAGGGCGUGUAGGUGGUUAAUUAGGUUUGAUGUGAAAUCCCCGGGCUUAACCUGGGAAUUGCGUCGAAAACGGAUUAACUCGAGUGAGAUAGAGGGUUGUGGAAUUUCCGGUGUAGCGGUGAAAUGCGUAGAUAUCGGAAAGAACAUCAGUGGCGAAGGCGACAACCUGGAUCUUAACUGACACUGAGGCGCGAAGGCGUGGGGAGCAAACAGGGAUUAGAUACCCUGGUAGUCCACGCAGUAAACGAUGAGAACUGGCUGUGAUGUGUAGGGAGCAAUCUCUGCAUGACGUAGCGAAGCUAACGCGUUAAGUUCUCCGCCUGGGGAGUACGGCCGCAAGGUUA
rnacentral:rRNA from 1 species